CCGGUGUGGCGUCGGCGCUGCAUCGGGCGGGGCAGGCCGGGCCAAGCUGGGUCGUGUGGUGUUGGGCCGCAGGAGGGAGGAGCUGGCUGGGCAGGCGUGGGAGAGGCAGGCCGGGCCUGAAAGGGAGCUGGGCCAGCGGGAUGUUGGGCUGGCGUCACGUGGGGAAGCAGCUAGAGCAGUCUGGGCCGAAAGAGAAGAUGGCUCGGAAGGGAAGUUGUCGGCCUGCUAGGGGUUUUAGGGAUUUUUCUUAUUUGUUUGAUUGGGGUUUAGUAGCCAUUUCAAAUUUGACUAGGGUUUGAGAUUUGGGUUGGGAUAGGGUACGAGGGGAAGGCAUUUGGAAGAAUUUUGGGUUUGGGUAAGGUAGAAAGGACUAGUAUUGAGUGGAGCCUUAUAGGGUUUUUUAAUAGAGUUAAUAUUCAAAUUGGGUUUGAAUAUUAAUUCCAGAAUUUGAGAACGAAGGGUUUUGGAAGUUCUAUCUCUAGGAUUUCGAGAGUUAGACUUGGGAUAGAUUUUCUAAGGAGAGCAACCAAAUGCAACACAUAUGCUCAUGUUUAUGCAAGAUUUAUUUGAAAAAAAAAGAGUUUUGAAUAUUCGGGAGAAGAGAAGGUGGGUUUAGUUUAAAGAAAAUUUUUAAAAAUUUUGUAUUUUUAAAUGCUCUAAAAAAAUGGGAUGUUACAUAUCCCAUGAUAUCUGGCUGAAAUCUAUUCACCCGACAUCUUGUCUUGCGCUCCAAAUAGCUCCAUACUUUGUCCCGUACUAGUCAGGUAGUAGUAUGGUUGGUGGGGACUCCUGGAUACUCAUGUCUCUUAGUAUAUUCCACUAUAAAAAAAACUUAACAGCUGAGCUACUUUCAGUUUGUAUGGUACAAUAUUUUUCAAGAAAUAUAAUGCAAUUAUUUUUAAAGAAAGAACAAAAUCUUUUUUUUGAAAAUACAAAAUCUU
rnacentral:lncRNA from 1 species